AGUGGGGAAUAUUGCACAAUGGGGGAAACCCUGAUGCAGCAACGCCGCGUGGAGGAUGACGCAUUUCGGUGUGUAAACUCCUUUUAUUAAGGAAGAAAUUUGACGGUACUUAAUGAAUAAGCACCGGCUAACUCCGUGCCAGCAGCCGCGGUAAUACGGAGGGUGCAAGCGUUACUCGGAAUUACUGGGCGUAAAGGACGCGUAGGCGGCCAGAUAAGUUAGAUGUGAAAUCCUAUGGCUUAACCAUAGAACUGCAUCUAAAACUAUUUGGCUAGAGUGAGGGAGAGGUCAGUGGAAUUAGUGGUGUAGGGGUAAAAUCCGUAGAGAUCACUAGGAAUACUCAUUGCGAAGGCGACUGACUGGAACUUAACUGACGCUGAGGCGUGAAAGCGUGGGGAGCAAACAGGAUUAGAUACCCUGGUAGUCCACGCCCUAAACGAUGUACACUAGUUGUUGGAAUGCAAGUCAUUUCAGUAAUGCAGCUAACGCAUUAAGUGUACCGCCUGGGGAGUACGGUCGCAAGAUUAAAACUCAAAGGAAUAGACGGGGACCCGCACAAGCGGUGGAGCAUGUGGUUUAAUUCGACGAUACGCGAAGAACCUUACCUAGGCUUGACAUCCUAUAAAUAAUUUAGAGAUAAGUUAGUGCUAGUUUACUAGAAUAUAGUGACAGGUGCUGCACGGCUGUCGUCAGCUCGUGUCGUGAGAUGUUGGGUUAAGUCCCGCAACGAGCGCAACCCUCGUCGUUAGUUGCUAACAGUUCGGCUGAGCACUCUAACGAGACUGCCUUCGUAAGGAGGAGGAAGGUGAGGACGACGUCAAGUCAUCAUGGCCCUUAUGCCUAGGGCUACACACGUGCUACAAUGGGGAGGACAAUGAGACGCAAUACCGCGAGGUGGAGCAAAUCUAUAAACCUUCUCUCAGUUCGGAUAGCACUCUGCAACUCGAGUGCUUGAAGCUGGAAUCGCUAGUAAUCGUAGAUCAGCAAUGCUACGGUGAAUACGU
rnacentral:rRNA from 1 species